UACGUAGGGCGCAAGCGUUUGUCCGGAAUUAUUGGGCGUAAAGAGCUCGUAGGCGGCCUGUUGCGUCCGCUGUGAAAUCCCGGGGCUCAACCCCGGGCCUGCAGUGGAUACGGGCUGGCUAGAGGCAGGCAGGGGAGAAUGGAAUUCCAGGUGUAGCGGUGAAAUGCGUAGAUAUCUGGAGGAAUACCGGUGGCGAAGGCGGCAUCCUGGACCGAGAUUGACGCUGAUGAGCGAAAGCUAGGGGAGCAAACGGG
rnacentral:rRNA from 1 species